UUGCAUAUCAGGCGCUGCAAGAGUCUAAAGUAUCUACCAUCCGUCCAAACUAUGCACAGGCUCACCAAAUUAGAGGAGCUAUGUAUCCAUGGCGACGAGUGUUCCCUUCUAAAAGAAAGAUGCAGAGAGGAGAGCGGCGCAGAGUGGCCUAAGAUUUCUCAUAUUCCACAUAUUUGGGUUCCUUGAGACGGGGAUGCAUGGGCCCUUUCCUUUUACCAAGCAUCAGAUUGGACUUGCUCAAGGUUGCGCAAUGAUAACUGGGCAUCUGCAAUUCUAUAGCAUAUCUCUAUCAGCAAUGCAGGAUUGGGGGAAAUUGGAACAGGUUGUUUGAUGAUGCUCUUAUGUUGUUGUUAAAAGUAUUAAGAGGCACUCCAAUUGCUACAGAGAUAGGUGUUGACAAGGUUUUCUUCUGGUCAUAACUCACUGGUGGAAGUUGCUGAUCGCUUGAAGAUUCUCUGUGAAUAAAGGAAUGAUUAAGCAAAACAUGAUCGGCCAUGAUAGAUUCAGUAAUGGCCGAGUUUGGAGUUUGGGGCAUUUUGAUACACACUUUAUUUAGUACGCUGAUUCCCAAAGGUAAUAGUAAUCUUACAUUAAUUUUAGAUGCAUAAAAUUAAGGAUUCUGGUAAACAAUAUAUAUGACAUUCCCCACUACAACUUAUGACGCGAAAUAAAUGCAAUUAGUGAGGAAAUCCAGGACCUGAUGACUCUUCCUUAGUGCCAAGCCAAGCAGCAAAACCUUUUGGUUUGUGUCUUAGCUCAAAUUGUUGAAUGUAGAUUUUUUUUUAUGGAUCGCAGCAUCAAAUAAACUGGUCCUUGUUUUUCAGCAAGACUAUGGGACAACAUUUUUCACCAUGUUGGUACUGUGGACUUGAAACGUAGAGCAUUUGGCCAGUUGAAUCUACUGUACUACUACACAGCCACUUUUAUCAUUCUACUAUGUGUCUAGCGCUUGGAUUUUCUUAGGUUGAAGGAAGAUGACAUUAUGGUUUUAAAGAGUCACUAAAGUUGGCUUUUGGAGAGAUAUUGAAAGCUGGUUGGAAACAGACUGCGAUGCUUGUUCAUCAUUAUAUUCCGGUCCUUAUCUCUGAGGUUGACAGUUCUGAGUUUAUGGGAGACUUGUUUGUUAGCCAUUCUCCAAAGGUGGUAACUGAGCUGCAUAUGUUUUUGCAGAUUGUUUGGUUUGUCUGAAAUCAAAAGUUAUGCACUUCUUAAAGUUUCCCGUUCAUUAUUCCUUUUUGCAUUAUGUAAGCAAGUUGAAGUUUUACGAAUUUUUGCAUAUACAACACGCUAAAGCUUAAACCUCUCAUAAGAAAAGAGAAUAAUUGUAAUAGUCCUUCUUCAACCACCAGCAUUGAAUAUAUACAUCACAUCCUCGUUCUUUUGCAGCAAGACGAUCAAUUUAUUCAC